rnacentral:rRNA from 1 species
UCGGAGAAGGCUAUGUUGGCCGGGCGACGGUUGUCCCGGUUUAAGCGUGUAGGCUGGUUUUCCAGGCAAAUCCGGAAAAUCAAGGCUGAGGCGUGAUGACGAGGCACUACGGUGCUGAAGCAACAAAUGCCCUGCUUCCAGGAAAAGCCUCUAAGCAUCAGGUAACAUCAAAUCGUACCCCAAACCGACACAGGUGGUCAGGUAGAGAAUACCAAGGCGCUUGAGAGAACUCGGGUGAAGGAACUAGGCAAAAUGGUGCCGUAACUUCGGGAGAAGGCACGCUGAUAUGUAGGUGAAGCGACUUGCUCGUGGAGCUGAAAUCAGUCGAAGAUACCAGCUGGCUGCAACUGUUUAUUAAAAACACAGCACUGUGCAAGCACGAAAGUGGACGUAUACGGUGUGACGCCUGCCCGGUGCCGGAAGGUUAAUUGAUGGGGUUAGCGCAAGCGAAGCUCUUGAUCGAAGCCCCGGUAAACGGCGGCCGUAACUAUAACGGUCCUAAGGUAGCGAAAUUCCUUGUCGGGUAAGUUCCGACCUGCACGAAUGGCGUAAUGAUGGCCAGGCUGUCUCCACCCGAGACUCAGUGAAAUUGAACUCGCUGUGAAGAUGCAGUGUACCCGCGGCAAGACGGAAAGACCCCGUGAACCUUUACUAUAGCUUGACACUGAACAUUGAGCCUUGAUGUGUAGGAUAGGUGGGAGGCUUAGAAGUGUGGACGCCAGUCUGCAUGGAGCCGACCUUGAAAUACCACCCUUUAAUGUUUGAUGUUCUAACGUUGACCCGUAAUCCGGGUUGCGGACAGUGUCUGGUGGGUAGUUUGACUGGGGCGGUCUCCUCCUAAAGAGUAACGGAGGAGCACGAAGGUUGGCUAAUCCUGGUCGGACAUCAGGAGGUUAGUGCAAUGGCAUAAGCCAGCUUGACUGCGAGCGUGACGGCGCGAGCAGGUGCGAAAGCAGGUCAUAGUGAUCCGGUGGUUCUGAAUGGAAGGGCCAUCGCUCAACGGAUAAAAGGUACUCCGGGGAUAACAGGCUGAUACCGCCCAAGAGUUCAUAUCGACGGCGGUGUUUGGCACCUCGAUGUCGGCUCAUCACAUCCUGGGGCUGAAGUAGGUCCCAAGGGUAUGGCUGUUCGCCAUUUAAAGUGGUACGCGAGCUGGGUUUAGAACGUCGUGAGACAGUUCGGUCCCUAUCUGCCGUGGGCGCUGGAGAACUGAGGGGGGCUGCUCCUAGUACGAGAGGACCGGAGUGGACGCAUCACUGGUGUUCGGGUUGUCAUGCCAAUGGCACUGCCCGGUAGCUAAAUGCGGAAGAGAUAAGUGCUGAAAGCAUCUAAGCACGAAACUUGCCCCGAGAUGAGUUCUCCCUGACCCUUUAAGGGUCCUGAAGGAACGUUGAAGACGACGACGUUGAUAGGCCGGGUGUGUAAGCGCAGCGAUGCGUUGAGCUAACCGGUACUAAUGAACCGUGAGGCUUAACCUU